UACGUAGGGUGCGAGCGUUGUCCGGAAUUACUGGGCGUAAAGAGCUCGUAGGUGGUUUGUCGCGUUGUUCGUGAAAACUCACAACUCAAUUGUGGGCGUGCGGGCGAUACGGGCAGACUGGAGUACUGCAGGGGAGACUGGAAUUCCUGGUGUAGCGGUGAAAUGCGCAGAUAUCAGGAGGAACACCGGUGGCGAAGGCGGCAUCCUGGACCGAUACUGACGCUGAGGAGCGAAAGCCAGGGGAGCAAACGGG
rnacentral:rRNA from 1 species